rnacentral:rRNA from 1 species
UCAAGUGAAUAAGUGCAUCAGGCGGAUGCCUUGGCGAUGAUAGGCGACGAAGGACGUGUAAGCCUGCGAAAAGCGCGGGGGAGCUGGCAAUAAAGCUAUGAUUCCGCGAUGUCCGAAUGGGGAAACCCACUGCAUUCUGUGCAGUAUCCUAAGUUGAAUACAUAGGCUUAGAGAAGCGAACCCGGAGAACUGAACCAUCUAAGUACCCGGAGGAAAAGAAAUCAACCGAGAUUCCGCAAGUAGUGGCGAGCGAACGCGGAGGAGUCUGUACGUAAUAACUGUCGAGAUAGAAGAACAAGCUGGGAAGCUUGACCAUAGCGGGUGACAGUCCCGUAUUCGAAAUCUCAACAGCGGUACUAAGCGUACGAAAAGUAGGGCGGGACACGUGAAAUCCUGUCUGAAUAUGGGGGGACCAUCCUCCAAGGCUAAAUACUCAUCAUCGACCGAUAGUGAACCAGUACCGUGAGGGAAAGGCGAAAAGAACCCCGGGAGGGGAGUGAAACAGAACCUGAAACCUGAUGCAUACAAACAGUGGGAGCGCCCUAGUGGUGUGACUGCGUACCUUUUGUAUAAUGGGUCAACGACUUACAUUCAGUAGCGAGCUUAACCGGAUAGGGGAGGCGUAGGGAAACCGAGUCUUAAUAGGGCGAUGAGUUGCUGGGUGUAGACCCGAAACCGAGUGAUCUAUCCAUGGCCAGGUUGAAGGUGCCGUAACAGGUACUGGAGGACCGAACCCACGCAUGUUGCAAAAUGCGGGGAUGAGCUGUGGGUAGGGGUGAAAGGCUAAACAAACUCGGAGAUAGCUGGUUCUCCCCGAAAACUAUUUAGGUAGUGCCUCGAGCAAGACACUGAUGGGGGUAAAGCACUGUUAUGGCUAGGGGGUUAUUGCAACUUACCAACCCAUGGCAAACUCAGAAUACCAUCAAGUGGUUCCUCGGGAGACAGACAGCGGGUGCUAACGUCCGUUGUCAAGAGGGAAACAACCCAGACCGCCGGCUAAGGUCCCAAAUGAUAGAUUAAGUGGUAAACGAAGUGGGAAGGCACAGACAGCCAGGAUGUUGGCUUAGAAGCAGCCAUCAUUUAAAGAAAGCGUAAUAGCUCACUGGUCGAGUCGUCCUGCGCGGAAGAUGUAACGGGGCUCAAAUCUAUAACCGAAGCUGCGGAUGCCGGUUUACCGGCAUGGUAGGGGAGCGUUCUGUAGGCUGAUGAAGGUGCAUUGUAAAGUGUGCUGGAGGUAUCAGAAGUGCGAAUGUUGACAUGAGUAGCGAUAAAGCGGGUGAAAAGCCCGCUCGCCGAAAGCCCAAGGUUUCCUACGCAACGUUCAUCGGCGUAGGGUGAGUCGGCCCCUAAGGCGAGGCAGAAAUGCGUAGUCGAUGGGAAACAGGUUAAUAUUCCUGUACUUGAUUCAAAUGCGAUGUGGGGACGGAGAAGGUUAGGUUGGCAAGCUGUUGGAAUAGCUUGUUUAAGCCGGUAGGUGGAAGACUUAGGCAAAUCCGGGUUUUCUUAACACCGAGAAGUGAUGACGAGUGUCUACGGACACGAAGCAACCGAUACCACGCUUCCAGGAAAAGCCACUAAGCUUCAGUUUGAAUCGAACCGUACCGCAAACCGACACAGGUGGGCAGGAUGAGAAUUCUAAGGCGCUUGAGAGAACUCGGGAGAAGGAACUCGGCAAAUUGAUACCGUAACUUCGGGAGAAGGUAUGCCCUCUAAGGUUAAGGACUUGCUCCGUAAGCCCCGGAGGGUCGCAGAGAAUAGGUGGCUGCGACUGUUUAUUAAAAACACAGCACUCUGCCAACACGAAAGUGGACGUAUAGGGUGUGACGCCUGCCCGGUGCCGGAAGGUUAAUUGAAGAUGUGCAAGCAUCGGAUCGAAGCCCCGGUAAACGGCGGCCGUAACUAUAACGGUCCUAAGGUAGCGAAAUUCCUUGUCGGGUAAGUUCCGACCCGCACGAAUGGCGUAACGAUGGCCACACUGUCUCCUCCCGAGACUCAGCGAAGUUGAAGUGGUUGUGAAGAUGCAAUCUACCCGCUGCUAGACGGAAAGACCCCGUGAACCUUUACUGUAGCUUUGCAUUGGACUUUGAAGUCACUUGUGUAGGAUAGGUGGGAGGCUUGGAAGCAGAGACGCCAGUCUCUGUGGAGUCGUCCUUGAAAUACCACCCUGGUGUCUUUGAGGUUCUAACCCAGACCCGUCAUCCGGGUCGGGGACCGUGCAUGGUAGGCAGUUUGACUGGGGCGGUCUCCUCCCAAAGCGUAACGGAGGAGUUCGAAGGUUACCUAGGUCCGGUCGGAAAUCGGACUGAUAGUGCAAUGGCAAAAGGUAGCUUAACUGCGAGACCGACAAGUCGGGCAGGUGCGAAAGCAGGACAUAGUGAUCCGGUGGUUCUGUAUGGAAGGGCCAUCGCUCAACGGAUAAAAGGUACUCCGGGGAUAACAGGCUGAUUCCGCCCAAGAGUUCAUAUCGACGGCGGAGUUUGGCACCUCGAUGUCGGCUCAUCACAUCCUGGGGCUGUAGUCGGUCCCAAGGGUAUGGCUGUUCGCCAUUUAAAGUGGUACGUGAGCUGGGUUUAAAACGUCGUGAGACAGUUUGGUCCCUAUCUGCAGUGGGCGUUGGAAGUUUGACGGGGGCUGCUCCUAGUACGAGAGGACCGGAGUGGACGAACCUCUGGUGUACCGGUUGUAACGCCAGUUGCAUAGCCGGGUAGCUAAGUUCGGAAGAGAUAAGCGCUGAAAGCAUCUAAGCGCGAAACUCGCCUGAAGAUGAGACUUCCCUUGCGGUUUAACCGCACUAAAGGGUCGUUCGAGACCAGGACGUUGAUAGGUGGGGUGUGGAAGCGCGGUAACGCGUGAAGCUAACCCAUACUAAUUGCCCGUGAGGCUUGACUCU